rnacentral:rRNA from 1 species
GACGAACGCUGGCGGCGUGCCUAAUACAUGCAAGUCGAACGCUUUUUCUUUCACCGGAGCUUGCUCCACCGAAAGAAAAAGAGUGGCGAACGGGUGAGUAACACGUGGGUAACCUGCACAUCAGAAGGGGAUAACAAUUGGAAACAGGUGCUAAUACCGAACAACACUAUUUUCCGCAUGGAAGAAAGCUGAAAGGCGCUUUUGCUUCAAUGAUGGAUGGACCCGGGGUGGAUUAGCUAGUUGGGGAGGUAACGGCUCACCAAGGCAACGAUGCAUAGCCGACCUGAGGGGGUGAUCGGCCACACUGGGACUGAGACACGGCCCAGACUCCUACGGGAAGCAGCAGUAGGGAAUCUUCAGCAAUGGACGAAAGUCUGACCGAGCAACGCCGCGUGAGUGAAGAAGGUUUUCGGAUCGUAAAACUCUGUUGUUAGAGAAGAACAAGGAUGAGAGUAAAAUGUUCAUCCCUUGACGGUAUCUAACCAGAAAGCCACGGCUAACUACGUGCCAGCAGCCGCCGUAA